CCUAACACAUGCAAGUCGAACGGUAACAGGAAGAAGCUUGCUUCUUUGCUGACGAGUGGCGGACGGGUGAGUAAUGUCUGGGAAACUGCCUGAUGGAGGGGGAUAACUACUGGAAACGGUAGCUAAUACCGCAUAACGUCGCAAGACCAAAGAGGGGGACCUUCGGGCCUCUUGCCAUCGGAUGUGCCCAGAUGGGAUUAGCUAGUAGGUGGGGUAACGGCUCACCUAGGCGACGAUCCCUAGCUGGUCUGAGAGGAUGACCAGCCACACUGGAACUGAGACACGGUCCAGACUCCUACGGGAGGCAGCAGUGGGGAAUAUUGCACAAUGGGCGCAAGCCUGAUGCAGCCAUGCCGCGUGUAUGAAGAAGGCCUUCGGGUUGUAAAGUACUUUCAGCGGGGAGGAAGAGAGUAAAGUUAAUACCUUUGCUCAUUGACGUUACCCGCAGAAGAAGCACCGGCUAACUCCGUGCCAGCAGCCGCGGUAAUACGGAGGGUGCAAGCGUUAAUCGGAAUUACUGGGCGUAAAGCGCUCGCAGGCGGUUUGUUAAGUCAGAUGUGAAAUCCCCGGGCUCAACCUGGGAACUGCAUCUGAUACUGGCAAGCUUGAGUCUCGUAGAGGGGGGUAGAAUUCCAGGUGUAGCGGUGAAAUGCGUAGAGAUCUGGAGGAAUACCGGUGGCGAAGGCGGCCCCCUGGACGAAGACUGACGCUCAGGUGCGAAAGCG
rnacentral:rRNA from 1 species